rnacentral:rRNA from 1 species
GAUGAACGCUGACAGAAUGCUUAACACAUGCAAGUCUACUUGAACUUCGGUUUGGGUGGCGGACGGGUGAGUAACGCGUAAAGAACUUGCCUCACAGUUAGGGACAACAUUUGGAAACGAAUGCUAAUACCUGAUAUUAUGAUUUUAGGGCAUCCUAAGAUUAUGAAAGCUAUAUGCACUGUGAGAGAGCUUUGCGUCCCAUUAGCUAGUUGGAGAGGUAACGGCUCACCAAGGCGAUGAUGGGUAGCCGGCCUGAGAGGGUGAACGGCCACAAGGGGACUGAGAAACGGCCCUUACGCAUACGGGAGGCAGCAGUGGGGACUAUUGGACGAUGGACCAAAAGUCUGAUCAAGGACUUCUGUGUGCAAGAUGACGUUUUUCGGAAUGUAAAGUGCUUUCAGUUGGGAAGAAAAAAAUGACGGUACCAAAAGAAGAAGUGACGGCUAACUACGUG